UACGGAGGGUGCGAGCGUUGUCCGGAAUCACUGGGCGUAAAGGGCGCGUAGGCGGCGCGGGAAGUCAUCGGUGAAAGCUCAGGCUCAACUCUGAGUCGGCCGGUGAUACUCUCGUGCUUGAGCACUGUAGAGGCAGGUGGAAUCCGGGUGUAGCGGUGGAAUGCGUAGAGAUCCGGAAGAACACCGGUGGCGAAGGCGGCCUGCUGGGCAG
rnacentral:rRNA from 1 species